rnacentral:tRNA from 1 species
UGGCUCAGUAGGUAAAGAAUCUGCCUGCAAUGCAGGAGAUGCAGGUUCAAUCCCUGU